UUCAUAGCAUAAGUCUAUGAAGAACAGCAAUGUUCCUUCCGCAGAGUACACUUGCAGAAGCCUUAGUGGCCCGAAAGGGUGUCAUCAGCGACUCUAAACAAGUAGGUGGAUUAAACGCUAGUCUCUCAGGAGGCAACACUAUCAAAUUGCGGGAAGAUCCUGUCAUGUCCACAUCACCGCGGCUCACCGAAAGGUGCAGUGCAGCACCAGGCUAAUAACCUUGGGUAUGGUAACAGUAUGUGGAAUAGGGAGAAUCUGCAGCCAAGCCCCUUUGUGGGGUGCAGUUCACAGGCCAAAUGGUAGUGGGCACUCUUCAGUGCUUAAGAUAUGGUCGAGUCCCAAUCGUGAGGUUGGGUACAAGUACUCUGUACGAAAUGCAAAUGUUCCGUAGGUGAACCUGCGGAAGGAUCAUUAAUGAAUUAUAAGUCGGUCAUCUGUGCUGGUGGUAACACACAUGUGCACGUUGAUCGCAAAUCCACACACCUGUGCACUUUUGACUUUGGGAUCUGCCUGUUGGCUUGUCUGACUUGCAGCUGGUUGGCCUUGUGCUGGCCUGGGUCUCAGAGUAAUUUUUACACACUCUUAAUGUAAUGGAAUGUCUUGUGCAUAAUGCAUAUAAAAACAACUUUCAACAACGGAUCUCUUGGCUCUCGCACCGAUGAAGAACGCAGCGAAAUGCGAUAAGUAAUGUGAAUUGCAGAAUUCAGUGAAUCAUCGAAUCUUUGAACGCACCUUGCACCUUUUGGUAUUCCGAAAGGUACACCCGUUUGAGUGUCAUUGUAAUCUCACUCCUUCAACUUUUGUUGAUGGAUGUGGACUUGGACCUUGUUGUGUUACUACAACUGGUCUUAAAUGUAUGAGUGCACCCUGCUGUUGCAGCGUCUUCAGUGUGAUAAACAUCUUCACUGGAUAAAGUUCCUUCGGGACA
rnacentral:rRNA from 1 species